AUGGAUUGGCUCGCAUGGUGGACACUUUGCUUCCCUAAAAGUGAGGGAGGUAAGGGCUUUGGAGAUUUACAUUUUUUUAGCCUUCCAAUGCUAGCCAAGCAAUGUUCGAGAUUGAUACCUAACCCUGAUUUGUUCUGCGCAAGAAUUUUAAAUGCCAAAUACUACCUUGACUAUGAUCUGCCACAAUCUACCCCUAAGAAAGGUUCACCCUUCACGUGGCCACAACAUCAUGUUUUGUCUUUCAUCCUUGAAGCGUGGGUAUAUUCCGAGGAUUGGUACAGGGGGAGAGGAUCCUAUACAGUUCGGAUUGGAAGGUUAUUACGCCGAAAAUGUUACAUCCACGGGCUCCUAAGAAGAGAAUACUAUAUAAACUUACUAGUAACUAACUAA
rnacentral:rRNA from 1 species